GAGACAAACCGAUUCAGAGCAGUGACUCUUCCUACAAGGCAUUGGACCUCCUUGAUUGUCCUUGGGGAGUCAUCUCCUGCACAGCCUUAAUUUUCUCCAGAUUAGCCUCUAUUCCUCGACUGGAGACCAUGAAACCUAAGAAUUUCUCAGAGAUCACUUUGAAAGCAUACUUGGUUGAAUUUAGCUUCAUCUUGUACUUCCAUAGUAUGGUAAAGG
rnacentral:lncRNA from 1 species